GACAGAGGGUGCAAGCGUUGUUCGGAUUUACUGGGCGUAAAGCGUGUGUAGGCGGCUUCGCAAGUUGGAUGUGAAAUCCCACGGCUCAACCGUGGACGUGCAUCCAAAACUGCGUCGCUAGAGUCUCGGAGAGGAAGGUGGAAUGCUUGGUGUAGAGGUGAAAUUCGUAGAUAUCAAGCAGAACACCUGCGGCGAAGGCGGCCUUCUGGACGAUGACUGACGCUGAGACACGAAAGCGUGGGGAGCAAACAGG
rnacentral:rRNA from 1 species